rnacentral:lncRNA from 1 species
AAUGAACAAAAGAAAAAAAAAACUAAGGGCAAAUGUAAAUGUGGGAGAGAAGGAUCUGGUUUGCUGAGAAUGUAAAUUAGGAAGAUAAGACUAAAGAUGAAUGCAGAAGAGGGAGAGAUGAAGGAAGGGCUCAAAAUGAAGAGGUAGAGAGUCAGUGUCAAGACAACUGUGAGUAAAAUAUCAUCUGAAUUCUGUACAAUCACAAGAUUUAUAGAAUAGAGGGAAAAGGACCAUGUGGAAGAUGGAAGAUAAAACAAUGUCUAAAAUACUUCCUUCUUUCAAUAAACGAAACCUGUAGUUUAUGAGAUUUUUAGAAGUCCAAUAAUAAGAGUUAAGUCCCCCGUCAUUAUUCCAAAUUCCCAUUUUCUAUGAAAACCAUGUACGCGCAGUGAAACAAGGGAUUCAAUUCAAAGAUUUACACCACAGAAGUUUUCUCUGUUUUUAUUGCAGCGUUUGGGGGAGUAAGAUCAGCAAUCUCAUGUGGGUGGAUUUUAAACAUCUAGAGAAUGGUUUGAUAAAGAAGCGGAGUGGGUAUUCGUUAUGAUAAUUGAGUGGAUAUUGUUUUUGUCGGUAAUUUAUCCAACUGAGAAAAAAAAAUAUAUAUAAAUGAAUAAUUUUGUUUCGGAAGAGCGAAAGAAUGAAAAACAGAAGACCAUAGAAAAGGCUCAUAUGUCAAUAGCACGUCCACUUUUUUCUUUGUCGUUUUAAAAAGAUAUAUGUAAAGGAUUGACCAGCAACAUUAAAAAAAAAUUGAAUUCCUCUUUACCCCAGAACCAUAAUCCUGUCCACUAGCAACAUCUCUCCAUUAUUACCAAUAUCAUACAAUAUGAUCUAUGGGAGAAAUCCUUUUCUGUAGAGAGGGAAAAAAAUAAUGUGAGGCAAGAUGGCAGAGUAGUUGAGAGACCAAACAUACCAGAAACAUGAGUGGAACCCAGAACAUGAUACAGCUGACUUGAAGCCUUUGAACCUCUCCAUGGCCACAUGAACCCAAAGGAGUCACAGAAGAAGACACAUUGAGAGGCCACAAGAUCGAGGCCUCGGAACAUAAGCUGUAGAUCAAAUCAAGAGACAAAACUCAGAAUUCAGUCCCUGUCCCAUGAAUGAUUGUUUCUGAAGAGGAUUGGUUGAAUACUAUGAACAUUGAAGGAGAUAUGAGACAAGUUUUCUUCAGUCUACCAAAUGAAAUGAAAAGUUGAAAUGAUGAUAUGGUGCGCCGGACUCUUUCAAGAAAAGAACAACAAACAUUGACAUCAAGAUGGCAGACUCACUUUAGUUCCUUGCUAAUCCAAAGGAAAUGUUAGAAUUGUAUAUUACAUAGAAAUCGAGUUCCCUUAGAAUUCUCUUCCACGAAUCAUGGCAGAUAUAAUUGCCUCAGUUCUAUCAUGCUACAACAUAAUCUG